rnacentral:tRNA from 1 species
GCUGGAAUGGCCGAGUCGUUAAGGCGAGUGAUUUGAACUUGUUCAAGUAUCACUUGGUGUUUCACCGCGUAGGUUCAAAUCCUGCUUCCAGCG